CCCAUGCCGAACUCAGAAGUGAAACGCCGUAGCGCCGAUGGUAGUGUGGGGUCUCCCCAUGUGAGAGUAGGGAACUGCCAGGCA
rnacentral:rRNA from 1 species